rnacentral:misc_RNA from 1 species
AUAAACGUGAAAAGCAAUUACAUAGGGAAUAUAGGAGAUGGUUUCAACUGGACUAUUCUGUUGGAUUACUCUUUAGCAUAUAACAAUGAGAAAGCAGUGUUGCUCAAGCUCUAACCAAACAAUUAAGCUGUUGUUUGGAAUCCCACGUUUGCGGAGUGUGUAUGAACAUGAAACAUAAGAAUUAAUAUGCAAAAUCAUUAUAAUUUUGCGUUGAUGUGAACUAUUCUCGUUACUUGCCCUAUGAAUCUAAGCGUGCUUAUGAGGGGUUAGUCUUUCA